rnacentral:rRNA from 1 species
UGCGUAGGCGGAAUAUUAAGUCAGUGGUGAAAUCCUGCAGCUUAACUGUAGGACCGCCAUUGAUACUGGUAAUCUUGAAUUUAGUUGAGGUGGGCGGAACGUGUAAUGUAGCGGUGAAAUGCUUAGAUAUUACACAGAACACCGAUUGCGAAGGCAGCUCACUAAACUAACAUUGACGCUGAGGCACGAAAGCGUGGGUAGCGAACAGGAUUAGAUACCCUGGUAGUCC